rnacentral:tRNA from 1 species
GGGAGUAUAGCUCAGUUGUAUAGCACCUGCCUAGCAUGCAUGAGGUCUUGGGUUCAAUCCUCAGUGCCUCCA